rnacentral:lncRNA from 1 species
AGUAGUUGUGGUAGUGGUAGUUGUAGUGGUAGUGGUGGUGGUGGUGGUUGUAGUAGUAGUAGUAGUGGUAGUUGUGGUGGUAGUUGUAGUGGGGGUGGUGGUGGAAGUAGUUGUAGUGGUGGUGGUAGUGGUGGUGUUUGUAGUAGUGGUAGUAGUAGUGGUGGUAGUUGUAGUAGUGGUAGUUGUAGUAGUGGUGGUGGUGGUGGUGGUGGUGGUGGUAGUUGUAGUGGUGGUAGUGGUGGUGUUUGUAGUAGUGGUGGUAGUAGUGGUGGUGUUAGUAGUGGUAGUUGUAGUAGUGGUAGUAGUAGUAGUAGUAGCGGUGGUAGUAGUGGUAGUUGUAGUUGUAGUAGUAGUGGUAGUGGUAGUUGUAGUAGUGGUAGUUGUAGUAGUAGUGGUGGUGGAGGUGGUAGUUGUGGUAGUAGUAGUAGUGGUAGUUGUGGUAGUAGUAGUAGUGGUAGUUGUGGUAGUUGUAGUAGUGGUGGUGGUAGUUGUAGUAGUGGUGGUGGUAGUUGUAGUAGUAGAGUGGUAGUUGUAGUAGUAGUGGUGGUGGUAGUAGUGGAAGUAGUAGUAGUGGUAGUUGUAGUGGUGGUGUUAAAAGUUGUAGUAGUGGUGGUAGUGGUAGUAGUGGUAGUUGUAGUAGUGGUGGUGUUAAAAGUUGUAGUAGUGGUGGUAGUGGUAGUAGUGGUAGUUGUUGUAGUGGUGGUGGUGGUGGUGGUAGUUGUAGUAGUAGUGGUAGUUGUAGUGGUUGUGGUAGUAGUAGUGGUGGUGGUUGUAGUGGUAGGUGUAGUGGUGGUGGUGGUGGUGGUAGUUGUAGUAGUAGUUCCACUAGUAGUAGUAGUAGUAGUAGUAGUAGUAGCAGUACCAAUAGUAGUAGUAGUAGUGGUGGUGGUAGUUGUAGUAGUGGUGGUGGUAGUUGUAGUAGUAGAGUGGUAGUUGUAGUAGUAGUGGUGGUGGUAGUAGUGGAAGUAGUAGUAGUGGUAGUUGUAGUGGUGGUGUUAAAAGUUGUAGUAGUGGUGGUAGUAGUGGUAGUUGUUGUAGUAGUGGUGGUGUUAAAAGUUGUGGUGGUAGUGGUAGUAGUGGUAGUUGUUGUAGUGGUGGUGGUGGUGGUGGUAGUUGUAGUAGUAGUGGUAGUUGUAGUGGUUGUGGUAGUAGUAGUGGUGGUGGUUGUAGUGGUAGGUGUAGUGGUGGUGGUGGUGGUGGUGGUGGUAGUUGUAGUAGUAGUUCCACUAGUAGUAGUAGUAGUAGUAGUAGUAGUAGUAGUAGUAGCAGUACCAAUAGUAGUAGUAGUGGUGGUGGUAAUGGUAGUUGUAGUAGUGGUGGUGGAGGUGGUAGUUGUAGUAGUAGUGGUGGUGGUGGUAGUUGUGGAGGUGGUAGUUGUAGUAGUAGUGGUGGUGGUAGUUGUGGUAGUUGUAGUAGUUGUAGUAGUAGUAGUAGUAGUAGUAGCAGUACCAAUAGUAGUAGUAGUGGUGGUGGUAAUGGUAGUUGUAGUAGUAGUGGUGGUAGUAGUAGUGGUGGUGGAGGUGGUAGUUGUAGUAGUGGUAGUUGUAGUAGUAGUGGGGGUGGUGGUAGUUGCAGUGGUGGUGGUAGUUGUGGUGGUGGUAGUAGUAGUAGUAGUGGUGGUGGUAGUUGUAGUGGUGGUGGAGGUGGUAGUUGUAGUAGUAGUGGUGGUGGUGGUAGUUGUGGAGGUGGUAGUUGUAGUAGUAGUGGUGGUGGUAGUUGUGGUAGUUGUAGUAGUUGUAGUAGUAGUAGUAGUAGUAGUAGCAGUACCAAUAGUAGUAGUAGUGGUGGUGGUGGUAGUAGUUGUAGUAGUAGUAGUGGCGGUGGUGGUGUUAGUUGUAGUGGUGGUGGAGGUGGUGGUAGUUGUAGUGGUAGUAGUAGUAGCAGUAACAAUGGUAGUACCACUAGUAGUAGUAGUAGUAGUAGUAGUAGCAGUACCAAUAGUAGUAGUGGUGGUGGUGGUGGUAGUUGUAGUGGUGGUGGAGGUGGUGGUUGUAGUAGUAGUAGUGGUGGUGGUAGUUGUAGUGGUAGUAGUAGUAGCAGUAACAAUGGUAGUACCACUAGUAGUAGUAGUAGUAGUAGUAGUAGCAGUACCAAUAGUAGUAGUGGUGGUGGUGGUGGUGGUAGUUGUAGUGGUGGUGGAGGUGGUGGUUGUAGUAGUAGUAGUGGUGGUGGUAGUUGUAGUAGUAGUGGUGGUGGAGGUGGUGGUUGUAGUAGUAGUGGUGGUGGUAGUUGUAGUGGUGGUGGUGGUAGUUGUAGUAGUAGUGGUGGUGGUGGUAGUUGUAGUAGUAGUAGUACCACUAGUAGUAGUAGUAGUAGCAGUACCAAUAGUAGUAGUAGUGGUGGUGGUAGUAGUUGUAGUAGUAGUAGUGGCGGUGGUAGUGGUGGUGUUAGUUGCAGUAGUAGUGGUGGUGGUAGUAGUAGUAGUAGUAGUAGUAGUAGUAGUAGUAGUGGUGGUGGUAGUAGUAGUAGCAGUACCAAUAGUAGUACCACUAGUAGUAGUAGUAGUAGUAGUAGUAGCAGUACCAAUAGUAGUAGUGGUGGUGAUAGUUGUAGUAGUAGUACCACUAGUAGUGGUGGUGGUGUUAGUUGUAGUAGUCGUGGCGGUGGUGGUGUUAGUUGUAGUAGUAGUGGUGGUGGUAGUUGUAGUAGUAGUAGCAGUACCAAUAGUAGUACCACUAGUAGUAGUAGUAGUAGUAGCAGUACCAAUAGUAGUAGUAGUGGUGGUGGUGGUAGUUGUAGUGGUGGUGGUAGUUGUGGUGGUUGUAGUAGUAGUGGUGGUGGUAGUUGUAGUGGUGGAGGUGGUAGUUGUAGUAGUAGUGGUGGUGGUAGUUGUUGUAGUGGUGGUAGUUGUAGUGGUAGUAGUAGUAGCAGUACCAAUAGUAGUACCACUAGUAGUAGUAGUAGUAGUAGUAGUAGUAGUAGUAGCAGUACCAAUAGUAGUAGUAGUGGUGGUGGUGGUAGUUGUAGUGGUGGUGGUAGUUGUAGUAGUACCACUAGUAGUAGUAGUAGUAGCAGUACCAAUAGUAGUGGUGGUGGUAGUAGUAGCAGUACCAAUAGUAGUGGUGGUAGUAGUCGUAGUGGUGGUGGUAGUACCAGUAGUAGUAGUAGUGGUGUUGGUAAUAGUAGUAGUAGUAGUAGUAGUAGUGGUGUUGGUAGUAAUAGUUGCAGUAGUAGUGUCAUUGACCAUGUGAUGGUUUACUAAUAGUUUUUCCCAGUGUCCACAGAAGUGUGGAGGUUGGACAUCUGUUUCCUCUUCUUUCCUCACCCUCUUCCUGCUUUCCUCUCAUCUCUCCAUCGCGGGGCCAGAAUGAGCUAAUAAUGAGCCAUGAUGAGUGUUCCUCAACAGACCGAAGGGAACUUAACAAGAAGAGAGGAAGAAGUGCAGGUCUUCAGGUUGUAAUGUGAAUAGCAGGACAGACUGCUCAUUAAAGCAGCUCACUGCAUCGUCACAAACACACAGGGGCUUUUAUGAGAACAGAACAGAGGAAGGCCACCCUAGUCAUAGACUGUUCUCUCUGCUACCGCACGGAAAGCGGUACCGGAGUGCCAAGACUA